GCAUCAUUUGCUCAGCAGAGAGGGGACCUCCUGUAUGGCAGGAAUGGUGCUGAGGCUGGAAUGAAGAAAUGGGCAUCUGAAGCUACCUGGAAUGAAGAAACGGGUGUGUGACCACACUUCACCUGUCCAUUUUUGGCACUUGGCACUCCAAAUUCUGGAGGAAGAAGAUAAGUGCAAGUGUGACCACAGGAAGACGUCAAAGAAGGCUCAGAAAUAUACUUAGAGCACGAAGAAAUUCAGCUAUCUUACCAACCAGAAAGAAUUCAGCUUCCCUUGUAAUACUACUUCAGCGCCCCCAAGCAAUUAUGAGGGAUCUUAGGGUUUCAAAUAAUAGGGUGAAUAAAAAAUAUUUUAAAAAUUUAAAAAAAUAGGCGAAAGAAA